AGGAAACUCAAUACUUCAGAAAAUGUUAAGGAAACAAGCAAGGAGACAGCACAGCACAUUAAGACUCAGGCCCAGCAAACUGAAAGACUGAUAAAGAAGGAAUUUGAGCAACUUCACCAGUUUCUGCGAGAAGAGGAGACAGCAGGAUAGCUGCACUGAGGGAGGAAGAGGGGCAGAAGAGCCAGAUGAUGAAGGAGAAGAUUGAGAGUCUCAAGAGAGAGAUCUCAUCCCUGUCAGACACAAUCAGAGCCAUAGAACGGGAGAUGGGAGCGGAAGACAUUUCAUUCCUGCAGAACUAGAAGAACACAAAGAGCAGAGCUCAGUGCGCACUGCAGGAUCCAGAGGAGGUUUCAGGAACACUGAUCGAUGUUGCCAUGCACCUGGGCUCUCUGAAGUACAGAGUCUGGGAGGAGAUGCUGAGGAUUGUUCAGUACAGUGAGUACUUGGGUGCAGGAUCACAAGAGGGAGGGCGAUUUACAGGUUUUCACAGUACAGGAGGAACAUUGAGAAUUGUGGAAUCAGAUAAAUGCAGUGAGAGUGUGACUGUCUGUGCAAAAGCCCUGGAGUGAAGUGACUGAUCUCCUUCAGUUUGCUCUACAAAGGUGUCACUACAUGGCCAGUUUGCCGUCAAUGACGCUUUAAUGGGAUCCUGGCUCCAUCACAAUAGGCCACAGUAUCAGGCUAAAAAUAAAAUACAAAUUUAUAGAAUACCAACUGUCUAAAUCACAUAGUGGUCACCAUAACAGAUCCCCCUUGAGUGGUAGCUGAGUGCAGGGAAAUCUGUUGCAUUAACCCCCGUGCGACCUGUAAUACUAUGAAGGCAUUAUCCAGAAAGAUAUUGUUAAACAUUCUUUUCAAGCAAUCUACAAUCCCUUCCCAGAUUGCUGCUAGAAGCAGCACCCUUCCAAGGUUCUGAUCUUUCAUUCUCUCAGGAAAGUUUCUCAGUGCCUCCCUGACAGUGAGGGUCCAAACCAAAUCUGACCUGACUAGGACUGCUCACUCACCAGAACCUUAAAUAGAGAAUACUAAGUUCACACACAGCUGACACCAAUUUCCUGCUAUCCUUGUGCAUACUUGAUCAUUAUACUAUAUGCUCUACCCCUGUAUCCCUCUGGAGGCUCUUAUUUAACACUUCAG